GAAGCGGCGGCGGGAGCUUCCGGGAGGGCGGCUCGCAGGCUGAAGCUAUGUGCAUAGUUGGGAUGAGGGCUGUGUUGUCUCAACACCACCCUGCCCUGUGGUGGGUGGGUGCAGGUGGUCGUGGGUGGCUGUGAUGCUCCGGCUCCCACCCACAGGCACCAUGACUCCUGUGAGGAUGCAGCACUCCCUGGCAGGUCAGACCUAUGCCGUGCCCCUCAUCCAGCCAGACCUGCGGCGAGAGGAGGCCGUCCAGCAGAUGGCGGAUGCCCUGCAGUACCUGCAGAAGGUCUCUGGAGACAUCUUCAGCAGGUAGAGCAGAGCCGGAGCCAGGUGCAGGCCAUUGGAGAGAAGGUCUCCUUGGCCCAGGCCAAGAUUGAGAAGAUCAAGGGCAGCAAGAAGGCCAUCAAGGUGUUCUCCAGUGCCAAGUACCCUGCUCCAGAGCGCCUGCAGGAAUAUGGCUCCAUCUUCACGGGCGCCCAGGACCCUGGCCUGCAGAGACGCCCCCGCCACAGGAUCCAGAGCAAGCACCGCCCCCUGGACGAGCGGGCCCUGCAGGAGAAG
ensembl:lncRNA novel transcript